ensembl:lncRNA
CAAUCAGGUCAAUCCCUCAGAGGCAUGGACACAGACCAGUCUAAUCUGGCAACAUGGGGCUUCAGGCGCAGCUUUGGAGAAGACGUUCUCCUCAAUGCUAACGACUAAUGACUAAGACCUAGACAGCAGCAGCUCUACCCAAACUGCCAACUACCAUUCAAGAUUAUUGUGAAGAGAACGUUAUAGAAAGGGAGGUAAAAGGUAGAGAGUGAAAAGGUAGAGAGAAUUCCUGCACACAAGAAAGCAGACAGAAUAGAGGGCAAGAAGGGAAGGAUGGAAUGGGAGGAAGGAUGUCGGGAUCAUCCACUUGUAGGGGAACGACAUUGUUUAAUUCUAGUAAGAUUUGUGUGGAGGUGUUAAUGUUAUAAACAAGAACUAAA